CCUACGGGUGGCAGCAGUGGGGGAUAUUGCACAAUGGGGGGAACCCUGAUGCAGCGACGCCGCGUGGGUGAAGGAGUAUUUCGGUAUGUAAAGCCCUAUCGGCAGGGAAGAAAUUGGACGGUACCUGACUAAGAAGCCCCGGCUAACUACGUGCCAGCAGCCGCGGUAAUACGUAUGGGGCAAGCGUUAUCCGGAUUCACUGGGUGUAAAGGGAGCGUAGACGGCCAUGCAAGCCAGGGGUGAAAGCCCGGGGCCCAACCCCGGGACUGCCCUUGGAACUGCAUGGCUGGAGUGCGGGAGGGGCAGGCGGAAUUCCUGGUGUAGCGGUGAAAUGCGUAGAUAUCAGGAGGAACACCGGCGGCGAAGGCGGCCUGCUGGACCGCGACUGACGUUGAGGCUCGAAAGCGUGGGGAGCGAACAGGAUUAGAUACCCUAGUAGUC
rnacentral:rRNA from 1 species